CCCCGACUCCGGAAGGGGCGUAUUUAUUAGAUUAAAAGCCAAUGCCCCCUGGGCUCCCUGGUGAUUCAUGAUAACUCCUCGAAUCGCACGGCCUUGCGCCGGCGAUGGUUCAUUCAAAUUUCUUCCCUAUCAACUUUCGAUGUUUGGGUAUUGGCCAAACAUGGUCGCAACGGGUAACGGAGGGUUAGGGCUCGACCCCGGAGAAGGAGCCUGAGAGACGGCUACUACAUCCAAGGAAGGCAGCAGGCGCGCAAAUUACCCAAUCCCGACACGGGGAGGUAGUGACAAUAAAUASUGAUACAGGGCUCUUUCGGGUCUUGUAAUUGGAAUGAGUACAAUUUAAACCCCUUAGCGAGGAACAAUUGGAGGGCAAGUCUGGUGCCAGCAGCCGCGGUAAUUCCAGCUCCAAUAGCGUAUAUUAAAGUUGUUGUGGUUAAAAAGCUCGUAGUUGAACCUUGGGCCUGGCUGGCCGGUCCGCCUCACCGCGUGCACUGGUCCGGCCGGGCCUUUCCCUCUGCGGAACCCCAUGCCCUUCGCUGGGCGUGGCGGGGAGGCAGGACGUUUACUUUGAAAAAAUUAGAGUGCUCCAGGCAGGCCUAUGCUCGGAUACAUUAGCAUGGAAUAAUGAAAUAGGACGCGCGGUUCCGUUUCGUUGGCUCUUGGGACCGCCGUAAUGAUUAAUAGGGACAGUCGGGGGCAUCAGUAUUCAGUUGUCAGAGGUGAAAUUCUUGGAUUUACUGAAGACUAACCACUG
rnacentral:rRNA from 1 species